rnacentral:rRNA from 1 species
AGAACGAACGCUGGCGGCAGGCCUAACACAUGCAAGUCGAGCGCCCAGCAAUGGGAGCGGCAGACGGGAUAGUAACACGUGGGAACGCGCCCUUCGGUUCGGAAUAACUCAGGGAAACUUGAGCUAAUACCGAAUACGCCCUUACGGGGAAAGAUUUAUUGCCGAAGGAACGGCCCGCGUCCGAUUAGCUAGUUGGUGAGGUAAUGGCUCACCAAGGCUACGAUCUGUAGCUGGUCUGAGAGGAUGACCAGCAUCACUGGGACUGAGACACGGCCCAGACUCCUACGGGAGGCAGCAGUGGGGAAUAUUGGACAAUGGGCGCAAGCCUGAUCCAGCCAUGCCGCGUGGAUGAUGAAGGCCUUAGGGUUGUAAAGUCCUUUUAACGGGGAAGAUAAUGACGGUACCCGUAGAAUAAGCCCGGCUAACUUCGCGCCAGCAGCCGC